AGAACACAAUCUCCCAGAAUUCCCCAUAAUUCACUGUGGAAGCAGAAAAGCUGCUGUAAAGAACACAUGUGUUGGGAGGAGAAAGCAAUGCUGUGCUGCAUGCAGAAGAGAGAAGUAGAUGGUUUGUCCCAAUCCAAUGUUGCAUGUUAUCACAUAGGAGAGGACACCACACUUCUGAGGUGCCACUGAAUCCUUCCAGGUGAAAACGAUUCCUCUUAGUUUAGCCUGCUGAGGCUUUCACCACAGAACUUGGGCACAGGUCCAGAGAUCAAUACCAGAGUGAAAACACAGUGCUCCUCCCAACCCAGUCCCUUUGGACUCAACCACCUGGGGAUAGACAGAUACUAAGAUAGUAUCCAGUAAUCCUUGCCUCUUGGCAUUCGUGCCCAUGUGUAAUACC
rnacentral:lncRNA from 1 species